rnacentral:rRNA from 1 species
UACGUAGGGGGCAAGCGUUGUCCGGAUUUAUUGGGCGUAAAGAGCGUGUAGGCGGCUAGAUAGGUCCGUUGUGAAAACUCGAGGCUCAACCUCGAGACGUCGAUGGAAACCAUCUGGCUAGAGUCCGGAAGAGGAGAGUGGAAUUCCUGGUGUAGCGGUGAAAUGCGCAGAUAUCAGGAAGAACACCAAUGGCGAAAGCAGCUUUCUGGGACGGUACUGACGCUGAGACGCGAAAGCGUGGGGAGCGAACAGG